AAAAAGGUAAGCUAAAAUUUAAGCUCCUGGGUUCAUACCCCAUAUAUAAAGGUAUAAAUCCUUUUCUUUUUA
rnacentral:tRNA from 1 species